GUACAAUAAUUAUUAGGAAAUAAUUGAGUUAGAGUUGUAGCUAUGAGUGCUAUGGACGGGUUGAUGAGAGGAAUGGAAGUGAUUAACACGGGAGCUCCUCUCAGUGUUCCGUUCGGUGGAGCUACUCUCGGACAAAUGUUCAACGUUCUUGGGGAGCCUCUUGACAAUUUGGGUCCUGUAGAUAGUAGUGCAACGUUCCCUAUUCAUAGAUCUGCGCCUCCCUUUAUCGAGUUAGAUACAAAAUUAUCCAUCUUUGAAACAGGUAUUAAGGUCGUCGAUCUUUUAGCUCCUUAUCGACGUGGAGGAAAAUAGGACUAAUUGGGGGGCCUGGAGUAG
rnacentral:rRNA from 1 species